rnacentral:lncRNA from 1 species
GUUCCUGGCUCCCUUUCGCCCGCAGGUCGCCCAAGUCCAGCCCCACGACGCAGUGCCGACUCCCCGCCGUGCCCCCAGCCCGGCCCGGGUUGCGGAGCCCUGCUCCUGGGCCUCUGCCUGCUGCGUCCACCCUGGGGGAAGCGCCCGUCGUACCCUCCACACCGGGGGCUUCCCCUGACCCCUUAGGCCCUCCCCCUGCAGGUGCCCUCGCGCCCCUCCCGGGGUCCCCAGGGAAACGUGCUUCCAAUCUUCCAGGAAAAAUUGAAGGCUCCGGAUGAGAAAAAGCAAACAAAGGACAGUGGGACCAUGGGCGUCCCCACCCCCACCACCCGCAGGCCCCACACUCAAACCAGCGCCCGUGCCCACGCCCAUGCAGCCGUCCUCCGCCAGGCCCCAAGAACGGCUGUUACUUUGGGGGCAGGGCCCCUCUUCUGCUCCUGGCCCAGGGCCACCAUCCCCCCAGGUCCUGGGAACCUGAGUGGUGAUUGGCCUUGGGGUUCCCUCCAGCAACAGUGGAACAACAGACCAGCCCCCACCCCAGCCAGUGUCCAAGAGGCUCGUGGGACUGUGAUGUCACCACCAAGCCCUGGCUGAGGUAACCCAACAUGGAGCCAGGCCUGUCUUGCCCCCUAGAGAGAAGAGAGGAACCUCAGGUGGGUCUCCUGCCAGGCACCGAGCCUCAUCCACCCUCCAACAUCUGCUCGUGGUGGGAGAGGGUGAAUUCCCACCCUCUCACGGACACAGCCUCAGACCUCCUGGAGGCCAGGGCUCCAGGUGAAGACCAAGUCUUCGUACCCCCGGACCCAGCCAGAGCCUGGCACAGGGCAGGAGCUUAGCAAAUGUUUGUUGAAUGAAUGAAUGCACGGAUGGGGGCUUUGUGUGUGAUCAAGUGCCAGGCUCCGGAGUCUAGUGACCUGAAGAUACAGAUUCAAGUCCUACAAGGAUCAAACCAGGGCUUCCUGCAAGGUCAAGCGAGAACCCCCUGAGUUGUUCAGAAGGGGCCACGCAGCAGUCGGCCAGACCUGGGAGGCCGUGCCUGACCUUCUGCAAGUCACCUCUCUGGGGGCACUACCACAGGAAAGGCAAUGUCAAGUGAUGGGACUGCUUCAUCCAAAGGUCAAUCCCAAGCUAAAUGACCCUGUCAUUUUGCAGGCCGAGGCACAAGGGAGGCCCCAUUCAUCUUCCCUGGAGUCGGCAUCCCUUUGAUUGCGGGGCCACCUCUCAUCUGAACAUCUUCACCCCCCCCCAAUAUUCCUUCUGAACCCUCCAUCCUCCUUCUCCCCUUCUCUUGGGACCAUAAACCUACCCCAAGAGUGAGUCCUAGCUCCAGGGCCAGCUCCCAAUCCUGCCUCUGUCUGGUGGCAGCUGGGGCCAGGCUGAAGGUCUGUCCUAGACUGAGCCAUAAAGGCAAAAAUAAUACUUACUCCUAAUAGAAGUAAAGCACUUCACCCUAGAUGAGCCCUGGUCCUGGUCACACACAGAACCUAGACCUUUAUUUAGAGAUGGACCAUUAAUUUGUCAUGUGGGCUAGGCAUGGUGGCUCAAACCUGUAAUCCCACUUUGGGAGGCCCAAGCAGGAGGAUCACUUGAGGCCAUGAGUUCGAGACCAGCCUAGGCAACAUAACAAGACCACGUCUCUACAAAAAGAUUUAAAAAUUAACCAGGUUUGGUGGCAUGUGCCUGUAGUCCCAGCUACUGCAGUGAACCAAGAUUGUGCCACUGCACUCCAGCCUGGGCAACGGAGCAAGAUCCUGUCACAAAAAAAAAUUAUCACGUGGCCGAAGUUAUUUCCAGGCUCCGAGCGCCAGCUUCCUCAUCUUUCCAACAGAGGGCCUUCACCUGGGCUAAGUGUUAAAUCAGAAAGCCCCUAUUCAGAGGUUGGCCUGCAGUUCCCUGACCUGGUAACACUGGGGAGCAUUGGCUGCUGUCACCUGCCAGCUCCCACCCCCACCCAACACUUACACACCAAGCAUCACUAAUUUUUGCAGCUGCCAUGAUAAAUGGCACUGUUGGCAAAAUGACAUCUUUCUAAUCUGCCACAAGACAGACGGGUCCCCGAGCUCCCACAGCCUCCCAAGAGCCAGCCCAGGCCAUCCUUGUUGAGAGGAUGGGCAGAUGCAAAGCCCAGGGCCUGGGGGCGGGUGGGAUGGAGAGGAGACCUCAGGGCCCAGAAUCAAGGACAUCCCUAGUGGGGUUUACCACAGGCUCUUUUCUAAAUAUUUAGUUGUAUGUGUGCUUUUAAAAAUAUUCCAAAGAAUAUUAUAUGCUCUGUUCCUUUCUGACCAAAGUUAGGGCUUCAAUUCAAUUUUCUUUUCUUUUCUUUCUUUUUUUUAGACAGGGUCUUGCUGUAUCGCCCAAGCUGGAGUGCAGUGGCACAAUCACAGCUCACUGCAGCCUUGACCUCCUGGGCUCAAGCGAUCCCCCCACCUCAGCCACCUGAGUAGCUGGGUCUAUAGGCGCCAGCUACCAUGCCUGGCUAAUCUUUGUAUUUUAUUUUGUAGACACGGGGUCUCGCCAUGUUGUCCAGGCUGGUCUUGAACUCUUGACCUCAAAUGAUCUGCUUGCCUUGCUCUCCCAAAAUGCUGGGAUUUCAGGCUUGGGCCACUGCACCCAGCCUCAAUUUUCACUUUAAAUUAAAACCUGGAUAUUGUUCAGGUUUAUAAGGAUGAACCAUUAGACACUGGUUCUGAGGCGGUGCUCUCUUCCUGUCACCCUCUGCUCUGCGGAACAGUCUGCCUCUGCCUGAGCCAUUAGGUCUGGGGGCUUUCUCACCCCCCUCCUCCCUCCCACUCCCUCCAUGGCUCCCACCCUCCCACCCAGCCUCUUUGCUGACCUCAGCCGCAUCCCCUCCAUGCCUCACACUGGCCUGGGACUGCCAGGUUCCUGUGUCCAGGAGUAGAGGUGAAUUGGGGCUCUGGAUGCCAAGAACAGAGGAAGGACAAAUGCCAGCCCCAGAGACCCUCACCUCCUCAAGACCAACAGGAGCUGGCGCCUGUCCGCCCAGCAGCAGCAAAGCCAGAGCGGGUGCCAGCCAGGGUGGGUAGGCACAGGCCUGGGCUUGAAGAUUGAGACAGCGCUGCCCCCUCCUGGCUAAUUCACGGCUGCUCCUCUGACAGGCACUGCCAGGCUAAGCUGUUGAGGUUGGGGACAUAGUGAGUGACCCCAAAAACAGCAUGUGACAAGCUGACCUUCCCUGCAGUCUGCCCAGCUGGGAGCUGCCUCCCACUCUGCCCAUCCUGUCCGAGCUUCUCCCAAAGCAUCUUCCGGCCCUCACACCUUCAGGGCAAAGCCCGAGGCCCCUCCCGGCUGCCCACAAUGUGGCCCCGGGUAGCAGCCUCGCCCCCUGCACCCCAGGCCCCUGCUGCUCUGUGCCUCCCCAGUUCCCUGUCACUGCACCUGCAUGCUUUGCUCUCACCUUGACCUCCACCUUCGCCCUCCCCAGCAGUCUCCUCUUGUCCUCUUAGGUCCCUCCCCGAGGAAACUCCUCUCCCAACUCCCAACCAGAGGGACUCCGCUCCUCUGCCUGCACCCCGACCUGCCCUGCCCCUGUCUCGGGGACUGCACACUGUCAGCACAGUCCCACAGUUCUGGAACUUGGGAGAACCUAGACCUCUUCCAAGCCUACCCUGUGCACUGUCUAAAGGGCAAUCCUGAGCCCAGAGAGGGGCAGGAGCUGCACAAGGCCACACAGCCUGUAAUGGCAGUUAGGACUGGAAUGCAGCUCUCCCGAGUCUCUGCCUGGGGCUCCUUGGAGGACAGACACAUGGCUUCCCCACCUGGUGAACCAGAAUGGAACUCUUCAAGGACAGGGACUGUAUCAUUCCUUCCAGUGUCCCCAGCCCCUCACCCAGAGCAGGACCCACAGGAAGCAACUGUGAACAGAAAAGGAAAAAACAAAUACAUGAAAAUGUAUCUCUAAUGUCUUCUGUGUGCCGGACACUCAGCAGGUACCGGCUCUGCUACUAGAAAUCUUGG